rnacentral:rRNA from 1 species
GACGAACGCUGGCGGCGUGCUUAACAUAUGCAAGUCGAACGGAAAGGCCCUGCUUUUGUGGGGUGCUCGAGUGGCGAACGGGUGAGUAACACGUGAGUAACCUGCCCUUGACUUUGGGAUAACUUCAGGAAACUGGGGCUAAUACCGGAUAGGAGCUCCUGCUGCAUGGUGGGGGUUGGAAAGUUUCGGCGGUUGGGGAUGGACUCGCGGCUUAUCAGCUUGUUGGUGGGGUAGUGGCUUACCAAGGCUUUUACGGGUAGCCGGCCUGAGAGGGUGACCGGCCACAUUGGGACUGAGAUACGGCCCAGACUCCUACGGGAGGCAGCAGUGGGGAAUAUUGCACAAUGGGCGGAAGCCUGAUGCAGCAACGCCGCGUGCGGGAUGACGGCCUUCGGGUUGUAAACCGCUUUCGCCUGUGACGAAGCGUGAGUGACGGUAAUGGGUAAAGAAGCACCGGCUAACUACGUG